UGUCUCCUUAUUUACUUUCAAUACGUUUAAAUAUUACUUCCGUCUAAAAAAGCUUGUCUUAGAUUUAUCUAGAUACAGAUGCAUCUAACACUAAAAUGUGUCUAGAUACGGGUAUCUAGACAAAUCUAAGACAAGUAAUUCGAGACGGAGGGAGUAUUCAAUAAUUACGAAUAAAAGGAAUGAAAAUAUAAUAUAAGUAGAAAGUGUUAAAUUAAAUGGAUCCGAAUAAAUUUUCUUCAUAUCUUUCCCGUUAUUCUCAUACAGAGCAUUACAAGCUUCCAUUUCUAGCUUUCUCGAGAGGUUUAUAAGAUGCUCUAUGCAUCCUUCACCCAAUAUACAGGAUUGUUUCCAAGCCACGCACAAAGAGGUACUACAACGAGAAAAGAGGCACUGUUGUGUUAGCACGGCAGUUUGUAAUGGAUCCACGGGCUACGGGUGUUUGUUUCGUUUUGCUGCUUCUGUUGCUUGGAAAUCCAACCUCGGCAGAGCGCUGCAUCCAGGAUGGUGAGAAUGGAAUGAUCUUCUGCACCAAAACCCUUUGCAACUGGACCUGCGGUUCCAUAGUGAAAGAACGAGGUGGUGUUUAUUACAAGGACGCUCAUUGUGAUGGACACAAUUGCAACUGUACGGUUUGCUUCAGGGAGUGAAACAAUACUAUAGGAAAUGUCGUUCUUGAAUGAUAAAAUAAAUAAAUAAAUAAACAUACUGUGUUGUCUUUUAUGUUAUGGUUUAUUUCUUUAGAAGCAGAUGUAUACUCGUUGUCAUUUACCAUUAUCAUAGAAAUACCUAUCACAUAAAUA